rnacentral:rRNA from 1 species
ACUCAAAUGAAUUGACGGGGGCCCGCACAAGCAGCGGAGCAUGUGGUUUAAUUCGAAGCAACGCGAAGAACCUUACCUGGACUUGACAUCGCCUGAAUUACCUGUAAUUAGGGAAGCCCUUCGGGGCAGGCAGACAGGUGGUGCAUGGUUGUCGUCAGCUCGUGUCGUGAGAUGUUGGGUUAAGUCCCGCAACGAGCGCAACCCUUAUUGUUAGUUGCUACCAUUAAGUUGAGCACUCUAGCGAGACUGCCGGGGUUAACUCGGAGGAAGGUGGGGAUGACGUCAAAUCAUCAUGCCCCUUAUGUCCAGGGCUACACACGUGCUACAAUGGCGAGUACAACAAGACGCAAGACCGCGAGGUGGAGCAAAACUGUAAAACUCGUCCCAGUUCGGAUUGUAGGCUGAAACUCGCCUACAUGAAGCCGGAGUUGCUAGUAAUCGCGAAUCAGCAUGUCGCGGUGAAUACGUUCCCGGGCCUUGUACACACCGCCCGU